rnacentral:rRNA from 1 species
UACAGAGGCCUCGAGCGUUAGGCGGAAUCACUGGGCUUAAAGCGUGUGUAGGCGGACUUCUAAGUGCCUUGUGAAAUCCCACGGCUCACCCGUGGAACUGCUGGGCAUACUGGUCGUCUUGAGCCACCUAGGGGCUGCCGGAACAAAUGGUGGAGCGGUGAAAUGCGUAGAUAUCAUUUGGAACGCCAAUGGUGAAAACAGGUAGCUGGGAGUGUGCUGACGCUGAGACACGAAAGCCAGGGGAGCAAACGGG